rnacentral:rRNA from 1 species
GUGAGGAAUUUUCCGCAAUGGGCGAAAGCCUGACGGAGCAAUGCCGCGUGAAGGAUGAAGGCCUAUGGGUUGUAAACUUCUUUUCUUAGAGAAGAAUAUUGACGGUAUCUGAGGAAUAAGCAUCGGCUAACUCUGUGCCAGCAGCCGCGGUAAGACAGAGGAUGCAAGCGUUAUCCGGAAUGAUUGCGCGUAAAGCGUCUGUAGGUGGCUUCAAAAGUCUCCUCUCAAAGAUCAUGGCUUAACCCUGGGCCGGCAGGAGAAACUCUGAGGCUAGAGUUUGGUAGGGGCAGAGGGAAUUCCAGGUGGAGCGGUUAAAUGCGUAGAGAUCGGGAGGAACACCAAAGGCGAAAGCACUCUGCUGGGCCACAACUGACACUGAGAGACGAAAGCGAGGGGAGCAAAAGGGAUUAGAAACCCCGGUAGUCC